AGGGUAUACUUAAAGACUCCUGACAUUUAAUUUGAGGUGAUGCAGACGCCUUAAAUCGCCACAUUAUCUUGACAGCAGAUAAUCGAGAGUGUUAACAAAUUGGGGGAGAUAUCUGUCAGUUUGCCAAUGUACCUUAAGGCUAUAAAGAAAAGCAACAGAAAAAAAGCAUGUGGCUGUUUUUGUUACAGUACUUUCCCCCCCCCCCCUUCUCGGGUCAGCAGGUAUGCAGCUCAGUUUCAGAGCACCUUGAAAGUAUUGCAAGCAGUGGCUGGUGCCUCUAGUCUGCACACCGAGGAAGUGGCUCGGUAUUAAUUAUGCACUGGAGCAAAGUUUACCUCCAGCCUGAAGUAGCCCACAGCCAAACAAUGGUGAGCGAAAUGUGCAUAACGCACCAUGUGAAAUGAAAUACUAUCUCCCCACAUUCCGCUGUUCCGACGCUGCCAAAAACACUAGCUUUUCUCUGAGAGGGUAACAGAGACAUCCAGACACACAUUACAGGGUUUUCCCCUCCUCCUCUUUUAAUCCGUAAAUCCCCACUUUCUCAACAGCCAAGCUAGGUGGACACCGAAACGGCUCUGCUAAUUAAGUAAAGGAAGCUGUCAGCACUUAAAUGUGACCCGGUGUCUUUCCAACCUCCACCUAGGCAAAGACGCGUUAGCUCUGACAUGCUAGCCGACCUAAGAAGCGUCGGAUUCGCACACUAUAACGUCGCUCGGUUAAACACACCUAUGGUUUAUUUUUUAUUUUUUUUGCUUAAUUGGCCAUGAGAACGCCAACUUGACAGGGAGUUUUAUGGUCAGGCUGUCCAGUACGCUUCUGACAAUGAACGGCGUUAAAACAAACAAACAAACAAAAAACUGUCACACCCGUGCAUUUAAUGACCGUGCCGACUCGUGACGCGUUCAAAGUCCUCCAGGUGUAAAGCGGACAGGUUACUACGGUGCCUGGCUAACCCCCCGAAGGAGACCCGAGAGCUGGACACAUGCUGUCAAAUGUUGUCUAGCUGUCAAUGACAAGUGUAUGGUAAUACCUGGGACCUGUUGACUCCUCCUCCUGCCGCUGCUGCUCGCCUCGGACUGCUGCUGGAAGUUCAGUCGCGCCGCUGUAUUUCUAACGCGGGUUGUACUCUCUUUUUUCUUUUCUUUUCUUUUUUUUUGAAAGUUUUCCGCCGACUUCUCAAAAUCUCCAAAAAACGGUGGCCCUCACGAGCGCUGAGUGAGUUAACCCCCACCGGGCAAACAGCGGGUAAGAAGUCGGCGAGUGGCGUUUAGAGAGCAAGCAAGUUCGAAACGACGUUCGCAGAAGCAACCAUGGCAGUCACGUUCUCUGGCUGUGAAAUCCAACACCACCCCUGACCCCGCCCCCUUUCUCUUAUGGGGCCUGUCAUCGAAAAAGUGGAUGUCCUGUUUCUCUCCAGAUGUGCUCCGCGCGCUGCUGCAACCAAGCGAGGCAACAAGAAGGAGCACUCACUUUGUUUUGGUUGCAUUUUUAAUGCGUUUCUUGCAGCUCGUUUAUGCUCCAUUAAAAAUAAAUAAAAACACAGUUUUCUAUCAUUCUCUGUAUCUAAACAAUGAAACCAAGCACACAGUACAGACAUGAAUUUUUAUUAUAUAUAUUUUUUAUUUACUUUUUUUUUUUUUGACAAAACAGCUUCAACUUAAAAUGAUUUCGACACUUUAAAAAAUUCAGUGAUGUUAUUAACUCCAUAUCGCGGUGGGACGGGAAAGCUGUGCAGUCUUUCUGAUUUUUGUUCAAAUAUGUAUUAUCAGCAUAAAAUUUUAAACGAUCCCGCCGCCGUUGCGUGACUAUGUCUCGGUGUCAUGCUGAGAACACCAUUAAAGCCUCUAAAAUAUCUUCCAUCGCAGGUUGUGCUGUUCCCUUUUGUCACACCGCAUUUGGGCAGUCGGCUUCUUCUGUUUAAUCCUCCACUCAGAGGAAUGCUCCACCUG
ensembl:lncRNA